UGUGUGUGUGUGUGUGUAAGUGUGUAAGUGUGUGUGUGUGUGUGUGUGUGUGUGUGUGUGUGUGUAUGUGUGAGACAGGAUAGAGAAGUAUAUCUGAGGAUGUUUGAUAUACACACAUACACUCUACGCUACCAGCUUCUAAUACACUCACCUUUCACACUCACCAGUCACACUACACUUGUCUCUCUCAUACGGAGUCAGACUCCCGCGUAUGACACGGAUAUACACACUAAUAUUAAUAAUUAUACUUAAUAAUACAGGGCGGGGGAGCAUUGUUUCCAGUCAUUCAUUUAUAUAUAUAUAUAUCUCAUGACAUUAUAGAAAUCCUAGAUGUAUGUCCUAAACACAGAUGGAUCAGCUGAUAUCAUACACAGGGGUGAGCUGAUAUCAUACACAGGGGUGAGCUGAUAUCAUACACAGGGGUGAGCUGAUAUCAUACACAGGGGUGAGCUGAUAUCAUACACAGGGGUGAGCUGAUAUCAUACAUAUGAGUCUGCUGACACAAACAAAGAUCAGCUGAAAUCAUACACAAAUGUCUAGUGACAUUGAGAAGUCGGUUGACCUCGUACACAAGGGUCAACUGGGGUCACACACACACACACACACACACACACACACACACACACACACACACACACACACACACACACACACACACACACACACACACACACACACACUAAAACAGGUCACGUCGAAGUAGGUCACAACAGUUAAAAAAGCAUAAAGAUAAUUUAGCAUAAUACAGUAAUUAAUGUUCAAAUUGGUUCAUACAUGUCAAAUAGUAAUACAGUUAUUUAGGAUAAUUAAAAAUAGGUCGAAACCGGUCAAAAUAGGUCGAAACAGACAAUAAUGGGUUGAAAUGGGUCUAAUCAAUCAUGAUUUGUCUUGAGAGUCGGGAGUAGUGUUGCAUUAUGGGUGUUUUGGAGGCACCGUGUACAAGGGGAGCAGAGUAGCCGGCCUUACGAACCCGGCAGACGACACACUAGUUGAUUGACGGUUGAGAGGCGGGAUCAAAGAGCCACAGCUCAACCCCCUGCAAGUACAACUAGGUGAGUAAACCAGAGUAAACAAAGGUUCUAUGCUGUUUACAGGCCUUUCCGGGGCUUGUAAACCAUUCUACCAACGUUUGUUUUCAGCCGGAUUUUAGUUUUUAUAUUUUAUAUAUCUUUCCUCUGAAUGUUUGUUUUAAAUCUAUGAUGAACCUCUAAGAUACAAGUUUUUGGAGACUUCUAGGUAGCUGUUGCAAGUUGAUGGUGUCAAUUGCCUGCAUGUCCCCCCCCCCUCUAGUUUACUUUGCAUGAUGGAGUCAUAUCAUGUCUUGGGGGGGGGCUAAUUUAUGCAUUUGAGUUCCAAAAUGUAUGUAACUCCUCUUCAAUGGGUCAGUAUGGGUUCCGUAGCGCAGUGGUCUUCAUCCUGAGCCGAGGGACCCGGGUUCAAUCUCCGGGCAGGAUAGAAAGUGUUUGGGACGUUCCCUUAGUAAAGGAUAGCAAAACCAGUUUACUUUUCCCCACAAAUGAUAGCAUGCCAGUUUACUUUCCCUACAGGAGAUAGAAAACUAGUUUACCUGCUCCACAGAAAAUAGCAUCCCAUCUUACUUGGAAAAAAUUUAGAGAAACGUUACUUAGAAAACUAGUUUACUUGCCCAAGAGAAGAAUGUAAACCAGUUUACUUGCCCCACAGAGGGUAGUUAACUACCAGGAAACAACACAUGAUGCGAGUAUUGUAAGUGUUGCCAGACGGAUUGUUGCACACAUCGUAAGUGGUGUCUUAAGAUACAACAACAACACACACACACACACACACACACACACACACACACACACACACACACACACACACACACACACACACACA